rnacentral:rRNA from 1 species
UGGGGAAUAUUGCACAAUGGAGGGAACUCUGAUGCAGCGACGCCGCGUGAGUGAUGAAGGACUUCGUUUCGUAAAACUCUGUUCUAUGGGAAGAAAAGGACUGUACCAUAGGAGAAAGCUCCGGCUAAAUACGUGCCAGCAGCCGCGGUAAUACGUAUGGAGCGAGCGUUGUCCGGAAUUAUUGGGCGUAAAGGGUGCGCAGGCGGCUUUACAAGUUGGAUGUGAAAUAUUGUGGCUCAACCACAAACGUGCAUCCAAAACUGCAAAGCUUGAGUUAAGGAGAGGUAAGUGGAAUUCCUGGUGUAGCGGUGGAAUGCGUAGAUAUCAGGAGGAAUACCGGUGGCGAAGGCGACUUACUGAACUUAAACUGACGCUCAGGCACGAAAGCGUGGGGAGCAAACAGG